AGCAGCCGCGGUAAUUCCAGCUCCAAUAGCGUAUAUUAAAGUUGUUGCAGUUAAAAAGCUCGUAGUUGAAUUUCGGGGUUAGUAGGCUGGUCAUGCCACCGGUAUGUACUGGUCUUUCUGAUUCCUCCUUCCUGAUGAACUGUAAUACCAUUAAUUUGGUGUUGCAGGGAAUCUGGACUGUUACUUUGAAAAAAUUAGAGUGUUUAAAGCAGGCUAACGCUUGAAUACAUUAGCAUGGAAUAAUGAAAUAGGACGCUCGAUCCUAUUUUGUUGGUUUCUAGGAUUGACGUAAUGAUUAAUAGGGAUAGUUGGGGGCAUUAGUAUUCAAUUGUCAGAGGUGAAAUUCUUGGAUUUAUUGAAGACUAACUACUGCGAAAGCAUUUGCCAAGGAUGUUUUCAUUAAUCAAGAACGAAAGUUAGGGGAUCGAAGACGAUCAGAUACCGUCGUAGUCUUAACCAUAAACUAUGCCGACUAGGGAUCGGAUGAUGUUAAUUUUUAAUGACUCAUUCGGCGUCCG
rnacentral:rRNA from 1 species